ACUGUACCCCUGAUCAUCAUUCUCAAUAACUGAGAAUUACCCAAUAUACAACUCUGCUCCAAACCUCAGCAAUCACUCGACCCAUAAGGGUUAGAAAUCCAUGAACCAUCGGAUCCCCGAUCCGAAUCCCACUCUAUCCAUUCCGGGACGACUAAGAGAGCCAUUCUCAAUCUCAGAGCAACUCUCACGAGUUCUCCCCUUGCAACCGCAUACACAUGCUGAACUAGCUCUAACACCCUCAGGUUGGGAAAAUCUGAUANCACAUGCUGACUAGCUCUAACACCCUCAGGUUGGGAAAAUCUGAUACACUGAUAAUACCCUCAAACAUCCACCAGGAUGAACCACUAAUAAACACCCCAUACCCUGAUCAGAAUCACACUGAGAGUUCAAGACUCUCUCUCCCCCUGCAUCCCUUCCGAGCCUCUUGGCUCUACACAUGCGGGUUUCCGUCCGCGACCUCAGCAGACAUUCCAAACCGGAUGAGCUUCUAAUCCACUGCCGCAAACACACUAUUCAAUAACCAUACUCGAAUUGCUUUAAUCAUAACUCUGCUCUGCCGCUUUCACUUCCGUGAAGUUGCACUCCCUCUCGGAGUUACACGCCUCUUACCUCUUUCUCUUCCUUUACCAAGGAAUCCACCCGACCAUAAUGUCACUCCGACAAAUACCACGGUGCUCGCCCUACGCUACACCACCCUUAGCGUGUCUGCUAUCCAUCCAACACACUUACUCUGACUCUCCUCGUAGGGACUCUCAAGCCCAUGCACUACCUCAACUAAACAAGAUCACUAUUCGGGGCCAGACCUUCCAAUGCAAUCACACUGCAACAUACACAAUCCGCAAUCUCAAACUGAUCCAACAAUACCAGCAGAGUCUCCAGCAUGACUGGACCGACUCACAUAACACAUAUUAGCCACUCAAGGCUAUAUCUCUGUGGGUCCGUACACCCAAACUCUGUGAACCCUCAGGUUCUAACUCUGGGAACCUUCCGGUUCCAACUCUAUAAACAUGCACAGCAUAAAUCCCAUAGAAUUAAUGCAGUACAACACAUCACGUACAUAAAGCAUACAAAUACUCUGAUCACAUAACCUCGGUUACCUACUCAAACUUGAUCCCGGCCUGCUUCUAGGCCUCCACAAUCAAAUGCCCUAGGUCUGUAUCCCGCCCCGCAUGCCCGACACUCGCUCCUAUCAGCCUAUACUCUAGGCUGACAGAACACUGCUGAAUCCCAACAGCUAAGCACCCUCAAAUACUCAUCGAUCUCCCGGAGAAUUCUCCAAUUCUCCCCCACUUAAAGCACUGACUAACAACCACCGGUCGCCAUUAACGACCUUCCAGAACAACCCCACACAAAGAGAACACUUACACACUGACUGCUUCCCACAAAAAUAAGCAACCCUCAGCAAAACACAUCUCCUCACUGAUCAAUCUGCUCAGAAAGAAUCCGAUCUCCAAUUAUCCCUUCCACGAAUGUAGAUGCUACCCGACAAUCAACCCAAUGCCGCAUCUCCACUAAUAACCCUCACGAAUGAUAACUAACGAUAGAACAAAACACCAAACUAUAAUCAUACCAAACCCUCAGGGAACAACGGAUACCAAGACGAAAACCCGAAACACGAAUCCAUAACCAUGCCAAACCCGCAAAACGACGAAUACCGCAUCGAAAUCCACACAAAGAUACCAGCACAAACAAUACACCGCAAUAAUCGCAAGAUAACAAGACAUCAAGAAAGAAACAUACCCGCAGCUGCAUCGGACACUACUCUAACCUCCUCUGCCGCAAGCUGAUAAGCGCGACCCUGAGCCCCUAGGGGCUCCGCUCCACCCUGACCUCCACCUGAAAUCCUCAAAGUGGCCGGUGCUGGAGCCUGCACC
rnacentral:lncRNA from 1 species